AUUUCAAAAGUUUGAUAUUAAUAUCUAAUUUUUAAAUUUAUUUAAUUUGAGUCAGUUAACCAUACUUUAAUUUUAAAUUUUGAAAACGCCGUUUACUUUUACAUGUUUAGUUAGUAUAUUUUAUACAAUAUUCACAACUGUAAAUUCAUUAAGGUAGUAAUUAGUUGAAAUUCGAAAGUCAAAGCGUCGUUGACUGAAUCAAAUCAAAUAAGUUGAAAAAUUAGAUAACAAAAGAAAAAUUUUGAAAGAUUAGGUAACUAAUUCAGAUAUAUUCGGCAUAUUUUAACUUUCUCUCUUUCUCUCUCUCUUCUGACACAUUUUUCACCGACAAUUGUCUGAGUUCUCGUCCAUCUAGCUCAAAAAAAAAGAAAAAAAAAAAGAAAAAAGAAAAAGCAACCACCAGAUAGUCACUCGACAAUCAUCCACUUAAAAGUAUAAUAUGUGGGCUACUUCGAAGGGUGUGUUAUGUGCGGUUAAAAAGUACGAUGCAAAAGUAUCUUAAUACAUAGGUUUGGUUAAUGCAUGAAUUUUGGUGUUGCAUGAGAAAACAUAAUCUUUCUAUGUAUACUUUCUCCCUAGCUUCUGCUUAACCUAAUUAAUAAGGGCUUAUUUGGAUUGGACGCCUACAAAAGUGCUUACUCAGAACACUCUUUCUAUAAGCAGCAACUCAGAACACUCCUGCUGCAGGCUUUGUGGCUUCCCCUCUGCUUCGUGCCACCUGGGACAAAACAAAAGCGCUGCCGGAAACAAGUCCUUAUUAUUUAGGAUCUUUCAUAUUUGGACAAACUUGGGGACCCAACUUUUACAAAACCAAAGUUGGGAAAAACAAAAGUGCCAUCAAUUUAGUAAAACGGAAGCACUGCCAAACAAGUCCUUAAUGUUGGGUUUUUAUUUUUUCUUUUCAAAUUGAGACAAACUCUGGGACUCAAUUGUCCAAUCAGUGUGAAACAAAAUGAAUUUGAACUCUCAAUUCAGGCAUUUAUAUUUGUGGUUAGAGAAGUUUGGGAAAGUUCUACAUUUAAUAACAGUGCAAGAAAUUAACUUGGAAAAAAGCUUAGAGAACACAUAACAAACACAAUAUGAGCGAAUCUAGUACAUGUUAGGAUUUGAUUACAUUUGUAGUUAAAUUCUAAUUGGAUUAAGAUUAAUAUUUAAAUUUAUUGAAGAUAAAUUAAGAUUUAAAUGUUAAUUAGAAUAUAAAUCUAAUUGGAUUAGGAUUUUGGUAGCUUUUAAUGUAAGCUAUAAACAUAGUAUAGGCGUUAUUAUUUUGGUGGUGAUUGUACGGAUUAGUCACACUCAUAUGGCAUGGCCAAGGUGGUUAUGAUUUUUGGAUGCACCUUAUGCAUGGGUGCAAUAGGACGUGAGCGGCUUUCGUAGCCGUGGGUCUUUGGUAUACUUUGUGCAUGGGUGUACAGGAUGAGAGAGAUGUCUUCUGAGAUUAUAGAAGACGAGAGAAGGGUAGGAGAGAUUCAAAAAGAGGGCUCGGGUUGUAGCUACUCUAUUGCAGAAAAGGAGUAGUGUAAAUUUUUUUUUUAAUGAAUAUUAUUUUAUCCGCAUAUUUUUUUGUUUAGUUAUUUUCUCUCUUUUAUGAUUAUAUUAGUUUCUGCUGAGAAGACGAGUUUAUGGUAAAAAUCCGAUUUGAUGCUUUUGUUGUGGAAUUCCAACAAUCAGUACCGGAUCAACAGUAGUCGGUAUCGGAGCAGAUUGCGGAUUCUCAAAAUUUGGUACCGGGGUGAGUGCCGGAUUCCCAACAAUUGGUGUCAGAGACAAAGGUUACUGAUCAUUGGGAGAGAUCGACGUCAAAAUAUUGGAUUACCGAUCUUUGUAGAAGAUCGACGUCAUUGUACGGUAUUACUGAUUUGAAGCGAUCGAUGUUAAAGGACAAUUUGAUCUCAUUAGGCAUGUUGGAUUCGAAGGGUUGCGAUUUUCGGCUUCAGGUGGAGUUAUGAGGGUCCGAAAGCGGGAUGGGGUCGUGUGCGAGGCGAACAAGUAUGGAAACUUGUACGUUUUGAACGGGAGCACAGUCAGAACGAAAGCAAAGGCGGUUUGGGUUUCAAAAGUUCACUAAAGUGCAGUCGCUCGAGAUGGAGCGACGGAUGCGGCUACAUCGAGUGAAGGAGACAAAUUCAAGAUGAAGCUUGCAUGGUAAGUUCGAAGCAGCGGUUGAAGACUACAAAUCCAACCAAGGUGAAGAAUAUUAGGAUUUGGUUAGAUUUGUAGUUGAAUCCUAAUUGAAUUAGGAUUAAUAUUUAAAUCUAUUGGAGAUAAAUUAAGAUUUAAAUAUUAAUUAUAGUAUAAAUCUAAUUAGAUUAGGAUUUGGAUAGCUUUUAAUGUAAGCUAUAAAUAUAGCAUAGAUGUUAUUAUUUUGGUGGUGGUGGUACGGAUUAGCUACACCCAUAUGACAUGGCCAAUGUGGUCAUGAUUUUUGGAUGCACCUUGUGCUUGGAUGCUAUAGGAUGUGACGGCUUUCGUAGCCAUGGGUUAUUGGUAUACCUUGUGCAUGGAUGCACAUGAUGAGAGAGAUGUCUUCUGAGAUUAUAGAAGACGAGAGAAGGAUAUGAGAGAUUCAAAAAGAGGGCUCGGGUUGUAGCUACUCUGUUGCAGAAGAGGAGUGGUGUAAUAUUCUUUUAUUUAAUGAAUAUUAUUUUACUCGCAUAUUUUCUAUUUGGUUAUUUUCUCUCUUGUAUGAUUAUAUCAGCCUCUACUGAGUAGACGAGUUUAUGGUAAAAAACCGAUUCAACAUUUUCGUUGUGGAAUCCCAACAAUUGGUACCAGAUCAACAACAGUCGGUAUCGAAGCGGAUUGCAGAUUCUCAAAAUCCGGUACCGGGUGUCCAAUAUAUAUAUUAUAUAGAGAGAGAGAGAAAGAGAGAGAGAUUUGCUAGGCUAUUAUCAAUAGUGAACUACUCGGUUAACUACAGAUUUAUUUUUGAUAAUUGAGCUUUUAAAUAGACGAUCAAUUCUAUUGAAUAUGAUUUUAGCCUAUUUAAACUAUAUGGAAAUCAAACUUAAUACCUUUUUGAUAUCACUAACCGAACGAUCAAAGGGUCAAAAAAUUUAAAAUUUUAAUGGCAGUAUAGUGUGUUUGCUACUUUAACGGUAUAAAAGAGUUCAAAUCAACUGAAGUUUUAUUAGAAAUUUUUUAAAAACUAUUUAAAAUAAAAUCUAGACUCUAAAUUUUAAAUACAAAAAUUGUAUCAUCACUCAUUCAAAGAUAUUUAUUUUCAGCUAUUCCUUUUUAUGUCCUAUUGAUGGAUAAGAGAAAAAUAUUGAAAAAAAUAAAAUUUGAUUUUUAAAUAAUUUAAAUGAUCUAGAUCAUGUUCAAUGGUGUCGAUCGUCGAUUUAUAAACUCUGUGAUCGAAAAUAAAUCGAAAACAACUAUCCUUUACUGAGCGCUCCAUGGGAUAAUUAUUUUAUGAUAGUAUUCUAGUAAAGCUCCAUACAUACUAUACAUACUAUCUUUUACAAUACUAAUACUUUAUAUUUAUUUGAGAGAUACAUAAAAUACCCUAGCUCUUUAUUGUGUGACUAUUUUUUUCCUAGUCUUAGCCAUAAUUCAAUAUUUUUUCAUUGGAUGGUUAAACAAUGAAUUUGUAUUCUUAAAUUGUUUAAAAUUUUGUGUACAUCCAAAAUAUUGUAAAACUCAAAUAAAAGAUCAAGGCAAGCUUAAAACAUUAAUUUCAUCACUUUCACCUUGUAACUAUUGACGAAAGAAAUCAAAACGAUUAGUAACAUAAAUUAAUUAAAUUCCUUCCACAACCGAUAAGUUGUGAGUUGUUUAUAUAUUUGAGAAUUUAUAUGUCAGAUUAUAAUUAAGAUAACUGUUAGGAUUUAGUUAGAUUUGUAAUUGAAUUCCUAGUUAGAUUAGGAUCAAUAUUUAAAUUUAUUAGAGAUAAAUAAAGAUUUAAAUAUUAAUUAUAGUAACAAUUUAAUUGGACUGAGAUUUGGAUAGCUUUUGAUAUACGUUAUAAAUAUAGUAUAUGUGCUAUUAUUUUGGUGGUGUUGGUAUGACACAGCCACACCCAUAUGGUAUGGGCAAGAUGAUCAUGAUUUCAAAUGUACCUAAUAUAUGGGUGCAAGAGGACAUGUGCGGCUGUCGUGGCCGUGAGUCAUUAGAAUGAGAGAGAAGUUUUCUUUUUAAUUGAUAGAAUAAGAGAGAGAGAGAGAGAGGGUAAAGAGAUUCAGAAAGAGAGUUCGAAUUGAAGUUAUUCUAUUAUAAAAGAGAAAUUAGCUAGGUGUACUUUUCUCUUAAUUAGUGAAUCUUAUUUUAUUCAUAUAUUUUUUGUUUGGAUUUUUCCUCUUUUAUCAUUAUAUCAGUUUUAUCGAGGAGACUGAUUUAUGGUAAAAAUUUGAUUUGACGCUUUUGUUGCGGAAUCACACCAACUUGUACCAGAUCAACAGCUCUGGGUAUCAGGGCGAAUACCAUAUUCCCAACAAUAACAACAAAAUUGUCAACAGUUUUUCGUGAAUUGUUUGUCGUGAAUAAUGUGGUAAUAUUAAAUAAGAAAAAAAAAAGAUGAGCUAAUUAGUUAGUUUUAUUUGAGAACGGAAAGAGUCAAGAAGAGAUUAAGAUAAAUAAGGUGGUGAGUGAAGUAGAGAUUUAGGAUGCCUUUGUACUCACCAACUGGAUACAUCUAGUUGCUUCGAUCACCACAUACUAAUUGUCAACGUUUCGUGCUUCACACAACUACAACAACAACAGCAACAAUUAACAAAGGCCCCAUUAAUUCAAGAAUGGAUCUGAUCUCCUCUUAAUUACUAAAAAAAAAAAAAAGUAUGAAGACCCCUCCAACUGGCUAGGCCAUUACGUGAUAAUCGAAUCAACUUUAUUUUUUUGAUUAAAACUUCACAUAUAUACUUUUGACAUUUUUGCGUGACGUUGUUUUAGUCUAUGUUUUAUAAAUUGGCUAUGAUUGUGACUCGUAAAUAUUAUUGGGUCAAAAGUCACUGGUUCAACCAGUCUGUCACCACUAAGGGGCUGUUUGGUUGGAUGUAGUUGCAAAAACAAUAUAGUUGGAAGUAUAUGCAGUUGUAAAUGCUGCAGUCAUAAUUAUACCAAGUCUGUUUGGUUUUAUGCAGUUGCAACUGCUGUAGUUACCUUUCUUCUGUUUGAUAGUCUGCAGUUGAAAUUUGUAUUUAUAAAUUCUGUCAACUUUUAGAUAGAAAGGUGAGAUUAUCUCUACUGAGUAUAACGUAAUUAUAUUUUAAUUAUUAAUUAAGACUUUUAUAUUUAUAUAUAAUUUAUAUAUUAUAAAAUUAUAUAUUAAUUUAAUAAAUUUUAAUUGUAAAUAUAUUAUAAAUUUGGUCAAAAUAAAAAUUAAACUAGCAGGCUGAAAAAAAAAGAAAAGUAUGAAAAAAAUUUAUUGAUCUUAACAAACAUUACUAAAUCCUAUCAAAUUCAUAAAUAUGUAUUUUUGGAAAAAAAAAAUAAAAAAUAAGCGUAUGAAAAAAAAAUCACACUUUGUUUAUUUUUUUAAUUAGUGAGCAGACUUCGGCUCAACUGCUGCAGUUGGGCCUUCUCAUGCAGAUGCAACUACAGUAGUUGGGCCUAACUGUACCAAACCAAAUAAAAAAUUAAUUAAUAGAUGUAUGCAUUUUCAACUGCAAUGCAGUUGUAAAUACAUGCAACCAAACAGCCCCUAAUUGAAUCAGUAAUGUCAACAUGAUGUUAUAAAUAUUUAAUUAUUAUUUUAAUUUUAUUUUAUAUAUAUAUUAUUCUAGUAUAAUAUUUAAUUAUAAAAUACUGAUUUCUAGACCAAAUUAAGUUUAUGUUAAUUAUCAAGUUUCACUUUUUAUAAUACAACUACUCUAUGUUAACGGAAAAUAAAAUUAGCUAAGCCGAUUUUAAGCCGUUGGAUUUUAAUAUGACUGGAUGAAUAAAACUCGGCCGAUUUGAUUAAAAUCAGACCGGUUCACUAGUUUAAUAGGUGAACCACCAAUUCGAUCGGUUUAAAGUGAUUUUUUAACUUAUCAAGUUUAAAGAGUUGAAACGAACCACUUUAUAAACUUAGUCAUAGUCGUAUUGGUUGAACCGUCGGGCUGAACUCGAUUUUUAAAUCAUUGGUUUUAGUUAGUCAAUCAAAUAGAAGAUUUUUUGGGUUCAUUAAUCAAUUACUAUAUCAAAUUUAAUAAUUUUAACUAUUUUGUAGCAAAUAAAAUUAGAAUAAUUGUCUACCAAAAUGCUUAACUUGACUGAUUAAUACUAGAUUAACUAGAAUCGGAAAAUUAGAAUUUAAAAAGCUGUAAACCUAGCCUAUAUCAAAAUAACCUAUAGUUGAGGGAGUCUCAACUCAUGCAUGUCUACCCAAAAAAAAAAAAAAAAAAAAAAAAAAAAAAAAAAAAAAAAAAAAAAAGAAGAAGAGGGAAUCAGCCCCUUCUUAAUUAGUCCCACUCUUCAUCCUCUACCAUGCCAUUGACUUGUCAUAGGCCACAAUACUCACAAACCCUAGAAAAAAAAAUCUAUUUGAUACCAUUUUGUCCAAACCAUCCAAUGAAUAAAAGCCAUGAAACCAAUGGACAUUAUUAGUAUUUUACACUUUUUGGUGCUUAUCAUAUCAAACCAAAUACAAUAUGUGGUUGGGUUGUUUUGGUUUGGGUGGCAUGUAGAGUAACCAAUCAAAGUAGUGCAUCACAUUACCCAAGUCAAGCUCUCUCACAAACUUUAUACCUUGCUUGUACCAAAAACCCUAUAUAUAAAAGCCUGUAAUGUAUGAUUAAUCAAAGUCAACAAGUGGGUGUUCUUAUAAUUAAUGUUUCUAGCUAAUGCACUUGUCCUUGUACUCAACACUGUCUUAACACAAUGGAAUAGUAGAUCCAUCUAGUAGUUACAAAGUUUAUUAAGUAUUUUCCAUCACUAAGGUUAGAAAUAGAUUUGUACCCCUAUGAACUCAUCCAUUUACAUACAUGCAUGCCUUUUCAAUUGAGACUAUACUAUGUAAAUAUAUAUGCUUUUGAGUAAAAAGCUUUACUAUCAUAUCGAUCUUUUGUACAAUACAAAGCAUUAUCAAAGCUAAUUUUAAAUUCCUACAAUUUCUUGAGAUUGUAGCUCACUCAUUAAUUACACACGAUUUUCAUACGCGUGGCAGAUGUGUUAAAGAUAUUUUUUUAUUUAUUUUUCAAUUUGGUUGAUCUUUUGAGUGACACAAUAUACCCUUAUAAAAGGAAUAUAUAGCCAAAUAUUUUUGAUCUCUCUAGCUAUCCCUUGGUCUUACUCUCAGUCUAUGGUUGAAAGAUCUUCACGAUAAUUUCUCCCCCCAAUUACACUCAUCAUCAAGAGACCAAAUAGAAGAGAAAAGAAGAGUUAAAAGAAAGCAAAUUUUUCUAAAAAUUUUCUCUUAUUAUUUGGAUUAAGGGAGAAAAUAAAGAGAAAAUAAAUUUCUCUCUUCCUCUCUAUUAAAUAUACGAAAUGAAAAACACGAAGCAACUGCUGUUUUUCGAAAGCUUAACAAAAUAUUAAGCUGAGAGAGAAAAUCCUUUUAUAUUUUUAUACUUAAUACUCUCACUCAAGUCUAAUAUCGAGAUUUUUUUAUUGUGAUUCAAAUUCAGAACCUCCCGUUUUGAUAUUUUAUUAAAGAAUAUGAAACAUCUGUUAUUCUCUAAAAACUUAAGAUACCAAUACUCUCUAAUAUUAGAUAGAAGAUAAUUAACCGAUAUAAAAAAAAUCAUUUUCUUUCUUCAUUGCUUCAUUUCGUUUUCUUUUUUUUUUCUCUUAUCAUAUUUCAUUCCAAAUGAAAAAAAAAAAAAAUUUAUCUGCUAAUUUUUCUUUUCUUUUCUUUUCUUUUUCGUUCAAAUGAAGGGUAUAUAUGAAUCCUCUCAUGCACAAAAGAUACCAGGAUGUUUCCACCUUAUUUCGAAGCCAACCAAAUCUCCUCCUUAAUUCCAACCUCUCUCUCUCUCACCCAUCUCAUUUUCCCCCUCACAUUAUUACUGAGUCACCUCCCUUCUUUCUAUCUCCCCUUUUUUAUCUCAUGCACAAGAGGGAGGGAUCACGGAACAUACAUACAUACACACACCUUUAUCGUGUCCCCCUCACUUAUCUCUCUCUCUCCUAUUCCCUUCAAAUAAUAAAUAACAUAAAAUAUUUCAGAUAAUAUUCCAUAGUAUCAGAGCACGAGCUCGGAUUUUUAUUUGUUUUACUUGAUUAAAUUUUCUUUCCAUCUAGCAUUCCCAAUUAACCCACUUAAUUUGUCCAUAAAUUAUAAAUUGAAGUGUCCAUCGACACGGACCGUAUCCGCCGUGCCAUAUUGUACCAGCAAAAUAUCGGCACGAUAAAAUUUUCAUACCGAAGGCACAACUUAAAACUCUAUAUUCUUUAAAUUAAUUAGUAAUAAUUUUAUUAAUAAAAUUCAAAAUAUUUAAUAAAAAUAAAUAAUAAAUAAUUGAUAUAUUUUAUUGCUAAAGCAAAAUAAAUAUUUCAUGUCAUUAUAUUUUGGUGCGCAUAUAUUUUUUGUAAGCAGCACGCUCACGCACCGUGCCGACUAGUUUCUGGCACUACCCUGUGUGCCACGGCACUUAAAUUCUUGUUCCAAAUAUUCCCAACUCCUCCUAUAAUUAACCACCCUAAUUA
rnacentral:lncRNA from 1 species